UAAAGUAUCUUUUGGCUUUCUAAAAUAUUUUGAUAAAUUUAUUUUGAUGCGUAUAUACACAAAAUAAUACUAUGCAACGUAUAACGGCAUGUACUAUCUUUAGAUGAUCAAUAGGUGUGCCAGCUAUCGCGGUUAUACCCUAAUAUUAUAUUUAUACUCAUUAUAUUUUACAUUGCUUAUAUAUCUAACAAUAUAAAGUUUGCAAAUUAAAGUGAAAUUAUAUUUUGUUUAAUAAUGUUCAUUGUAAAAUCAAAUUUAGCGUUAAAACUAGGAUUAGAGACCCUAUUAUUCUAAACUUAAGAAAUUAAGGAGUAUGUUGAUAAAUAAACUUAAUUAAGAUGGCGGUAAAAUUCUUAUUAGAGGAGACUGUUCUGUAAUCGAUAGCCCUCGUUAUAAUUCUUUUUUUAAAUUAUGUAUAUCGCCGUUGAAACUUGAUUUUAGAUUAAGUUGUUUAAUUCAAAAACUUUAUGUCAACAGGUCAAGAUACAAAUAAUAAAAAAGUAUGAAAUGGUCUACAACUAAAAAUUAUUUAAUUAAAACAUAAAAAUUUAUUUUUUUAUGGUUUAUUGGAUUUAACAGUAAUCUUAACUAACAAAUAGAUUAAUGUGAUUAAAAACAAUUUUAUGCACAUAUCGCCCGUCACCCUCAUAAGAGGUAAGUCGUAACAAAGUAGAUUAUAUGGAAAGAUAAUCUAGA
rnacentral:rRNA from 1 species